GACGAACGCUGGCGGCGUGCUUAACACAUGCAAGUCGAGCGGUAAGGCCCUUUCGGGGGUACACGAGCGGCGAACGGGUGAGUAACACGUGGGUGACCUGCCCUUAGCUCUGGGAUAAGCCUGGGAAACUGGGUCUAAUACCGGAUAUGACUCCAUAACGCAUGUUGUGGGGUGGAAAGCCUUGUGCGGCUAGGGGAUGGGCCCGCGGCCUAUCAGCUUGUUGGGUGGGGUGAUGGCCACCAAGGCGACGACGGGUAGCCGGCCUGAGAGGGCGACCGGCCACACUGGGACUGAGACACGGCCCAGACUCCUACGGGAGGCAGCAGUGGGGAAUCUUGCGCAAUGGGCGAAAGCCUGACGCAGCGACGCCGCGUGGGGA
rnacentral:rRNA from 1 species